AUUGAACGCUGGCGGCAUGCUUUACACAUGCAAGUCGAACGCUAACAGGUUAAGCUGACGAGUGGCGAACGGGUGAGUAAUGCAUCGGAACGUGCCCGAUCGUGGGGGAUACCGCAGCGAAAGCUGCGCUAAUACCGCAUACGAUCUGAGGAUGAAAGCGGGGGACCGUAAGGCCUCGCGCGAUCGGAGCGGCCGAUGUCAGAUUAGGUAGUUGGUGGGGUAAAGGCCCACCAAGCCGACGAUCUGUAGCUGGUCUGAGAGGACGACCAGCCACACUGGGACUGAGACACGGCCCAGACUCCUACGGAAGGCAGCAGUGGGGAAUUUUGGACAAUGGGCGAAAGCCUGAUCCAGCAAUGCCGCGUGCAGGAAGAAGGCCUUCGGGUUGUAAACUGCUUUUGUACGGAGCGAAAAGGUCCUUUCUAAUACAAGGGGCUCAUGACGGUACCGUAAGAAUAAGCACCGGCUAACUACGUGCCAGCAGCCGCCGCGG
rnacentral:rRNA from 1 species